GAUGAACGCUAGCUACAGGCUUAACACAUGCAAGUCGAGGGGCAGCAUGAUUGAAGCUUGCUUCAAUCGAUGGCGACCGGCGCACGGGUGAGUAACACGUAUCCAACCUGCCGAUAACUCGGGGAUAGCCUUUCGAAAGAAAGAUUAAUACCCGAUAGUAUAGUAUUUCCGCAUGGUUUCACUAUUAAAGAACUUCGGUUAUCGAUGGGGAUGCGUUCCAUUAGAUAGUUGGCGGGGUAACGGCCCACCAAGUCAACGAUGGAUAGGGGUUCUGAGAGGAAGGUCCCCCACAUUGGAACUGAGACACGGACCAAACUCCUACGGGAGGCAGCAGUGAGGAAUAUUGGUCAAUGGACGAGAGUCUGAACCAGCCAAGUAGCGUGAAGGAUGACUGCCCUAUGGGUUGUAAACUUCUUUUAUACGGGAAUAAAGUGGAGUAUGCAUACUCCUUUGUAUGUACCGUAUGAAUAAGGAUCGGCUAACUCCGUG
rnacentral:rRNA from 1 species